UACAGAGGGUGCGAGCGUUAAUCGGAAUUACUGGGCGUAAAGCGUGCGUAGACGGCUAUCUAAGUCGGGUGUGAAAGCCCCGGGCUCAACCUGGGAAUUGCAUUCGAGACUGAAUAGCUAGGGUACGGUAGAGGGAAGCGGAAUUUCCGGUGUAGCGGUGAAAUGCGUAGAUAAUCGGAAGGAACAUCAGUGGCGAAAAGCGGCUUCCUGGACC
rnacentral:rRNA from 1 species